CCAGGAGAGUGCUGAGCUAAGGAACAGCAAAGUCCUGACUCUGCACAAGGGAUCCAGACAAAUUUAAAAGAAACUGCAAUAACAGAAGUGGGAUUUGAGCAUCUGGGAAGACGUUUGAGAGAGUGAAUGAAUACAAACUGAGGCCUCUAGGGAGUCUGAUAGGAAACAAAAGGAGCAAAAUGAAAUACAGUGUUUAAUGGUAAUGUAUGUGGCACUGACUGUCUUACACUCAGGGCUACCUGAUAAAACUCUUUCUUCUGCAUGAUCUAACUUCUCUGAGUUCAUUUACCUCUCUGUACAAGCCAGACUACAUGAACAUGGAUGGAAAUGAGACAUUGUUGUGUUCUUAAAUGCUGAUGAAUAAGAACUGAGUCAGAUCUGACAAAUAUGUUAAAUUUUUAACCAAAUACCAGGUUAAUUAGCCACCAUCAGUGGAGAGUUUAUGCAGGAAAAAGGAUUUCCCUCUGUUGGGCUGCUCCCCAGCUAAGGAGGCCUGGUCUGUGGCCAGAAGUACUUUGCCUUUAAUCCCCAAUUUCUCAAAGUCAGAGGAAGAUUCCCACU
rnacentral:lncRNA from 1 species